rnacentral:rRNA from 1 species
UAGUGGCGCACGGGUGCGUAACACGUAUGCAACCUACCUUACAUUGGGGGAUAGCCUUUCGAAAGGGAGAUUAAUACCGCAUAAGACAGUAACUGGGCAUCCAGUAGCUGUUAAAGAUUUAUCGAUGUAAGAUGGGCAUGCGACCAAUUAGUUAGUUGGCGAGGUAAUGGCUCACCAAGACUAUGAUUGGUAGGGGAACUGAGAGGUCAAUCCCCCACACUGGCACUGAGAUACGGGCCAGACUCCUACGGGAGGCAGCAGUAGGGAAUAUUGGGCAAUGGACGCAAGUCUGACCCAGCCAUGCCGCGUGCAGGAUGAAGGCGUUAUGCGUCGUAAACUGCUUUUAUACAGGAAGAAACGACUCUUGCGAGAGGCAUUGACGGUACUGUAUGAAUAGGCACCGGCUAACUCCGUGCCAGCAGCCGCGGUAAUACGGAGGGUGCAAGCGUUGUCCGGAUUUAUUGGGUUUAAAGGGUGCGCAGGUGGUUUAUUAAGUCAGUGGUGAAAGACGGUCGCUCAACGAUUGCAGUGCCCUUGAAACUAGUAGACUUGAGUAAAGUAGAGGUGGGCGGAAUUGAUAGUGUAGCGGUGAAAAGCAUAGAUAUUAUCAAGAACUCCAAUUGCGUAGGCAGCUCAUUUGGCUUUUACUGACACUCAUGCACGAAAGUGUGGGUAUCAAA